rnacentral:rRNA from 1 species
UGCAGUCGACGGAUGUUUUCUUUCGGGAAAACAUUAGUGGCGGACGGGUGAGUAACGCGUGAGAAUCUGCCUUUAGGACGGAGAUAACAGAAGGAAACUGCUGCUAAUCCCCGAUGAGCCGGUUUACCGGUCAAAGAUUUAUCGCCUAGAGAUGAGCUCGCGUCCGAUUAGCUAGUUGGUGUAGUAAAAGUGCACCAAGGCGACGAUCGGUAGCUGGUCUGAGAGGACAAUCAGCCACACUGGGACUGAGACACGGCCCAGACUCCUACGGGAGGCAGCAGUGGGGAAUUUUCCGCAAUGGGCGAAAGCCUGACGGAGCAAGACCGCGUGGGGGAGGAAUGCCUUAGGGUUGUAAACCCCUUUUAUCUGGGAAGAAACUAUUGUCAAAGAUAGCUGACGGUACCAGAUGAAUAAGCCUCGGCUAACUCCGUGCCAGCAGCCGCGGUAAUACG